GUGCGUCCUUUUGUCAACCCAUUUCUUUUGAAAAACUGAUCAUACUGUGGGGACGAAAGUCUCUGCUUUUAACUAGAUAGCAACUUUCAGCAGUGGAUGUCUAGGCUCGCACAUCGAUGAAGAACGCUGCGAACUGCGAUACGUAAUGCGAAUUGCAGGAUUCAGUGAGUCAUCGAAAUUUUGAACGCAUAUUGCACUUUCGGGUUCUGCCUGGAAGUAUGUCUGUAUCAGUGUCCGUACACUAAACUUGCCUUUCUUGCGUCGUGUAGUCGUCGCUGGGAAUGCGCAGAUGUGAGGUUUGUCUUGCUUUGGUUCCUAUUCUUUGGGCAGGAGCAAGUCCCUUUAAAGUCGGACGUGUUUUCUCUCUGUGGUGUGCUGUGUCGGCGCUGGCGGCGCGUGAGACUCUCUUGUCUGUUGACGAGUCUGGCGACCUUUGGCUCGUGCAUUGCGGGGUGUGCUCGAUUGGCGGUAUGUUAGGCUUCGGCUUUGACAAUGCAGCUUAUUGAGUGUGCUUCGUGGCGCGUGGCUGUAUGGGUGAACCGGAUGGUCUUCGGUCGUUUGUGUGAGUUUUGCGCGCGAGUCUGUUGCUGGUGUGGCGUGCUGCGUUGGGGGACGGUCACCAUUUGGGAAUUUGUGCUCUUUGUUUUUGUGAUUCGUUGCAAAACUGUGCAUCUCAAUUGGACCUGAUAUCAGA
rnacentral:rRNA from 1 species